rnacentral:tRNA from 1 species
GGUGGCUCAGUGGUAGAAUGCUUGCCUUACAUGCAUGAGGCCCUGGGUUCAAUUCCCUAGCACCA